CGGCGUGCUUAACACAUGCAAGUCGAGCGAAGCGCUAAGACAGAUUUCUUCGGAUUGAAGUCUUUGUGACUGAGCGGCGGACGGGUGAGUAACGCGUGGGUAACCUGCCUCAUACAGGGGGAUAACAGUUAGAAAUGACUGCUAAUACCGCAUAAGCGCACAGGACCGCAUGGUCUGGUGUGAAAAACUCCGGUGGUAUGAGAUGGACCCGCGUCUGAUUAGCUAGUUGGAGGGGUAACGGCCCACCAAGGCGACGAUCAGUAGCCGGCCUGAGAGGGUGAACGGCCACAUUGGGACUGAGACACGGCCCAGACUCCUACGGGAGGCAGCAGUGGGGAAUAUUGCACAAUGGGGGAAACCCUGAUGCAGCGACGCCGCGUGAAGGAAGAAGUAUCUCGGUAUGUAAACUUCUAUCAGCAGGGAAGAAAAUGACGGUACCUGACUAAGAAGCCCCGGCUAACUACGUGCCAGCAGCCGCGGUAAUACGUAGGGGGCAAGCGUUAUCCGGAUUUACUGGGUGUAAAGGGAGCGUAGACGGAAGAGCAAGUCUGAUGUGAAAGGCUGGGGCUUAACCCCAGGACUGCAUUGGAAACUGUUGUUCUAGAGUGCCGGAGAGGUAAGCGGAAUUCCUAGUGUAGCGGUGAAAUGCGUAGAUAUUAGGAGGAACACCAGUGGCGAAGGCGGCUUACUGGAC
rnacentral:rRNA from 1 species